rnacentral:rRNA from 1 species
GAGCACCCUUUGGGGUGUGACUGCGUACCUUUUGUAUAAUGGGUCAGCGACUUAUAUUCUGUAGCAAGGUUAACCGUAUAGGGGAGCCGGAGGGAAACCGAGUCUUAACCGGGCGUUAAGUUGCAGGGUAUAGACCCGAAACCCGGUGAUCUAGCCAUGGGCAGGUUGAAGGUUGGGUAACACUAACUGGAGGACCGAACCGACUAAUGUUGAAAAAUUAGCGGAUGACCUGUGGCUGGGGGUGAAAGGCCAAUCAAACCGGGAGAUAGCUGGUUCUCCCCGAAAGCUAUUUAGGUAGCGCCUCGUGAAUUCAUCUCCGGGGGUAGAGCACUGUUUCGGCUAGGGGGCCAUCCCGGCUUACCAACCCGAUGCAAACUGCGAAUACCGGAGAAUGUUAUCACGGGAGACACACGGCGGGUGCUAACGUCCGUCGUGAAGAGGGAAACAACCCAGACCGCCAGCUAAGGUCCCAAAGUCAUGGUUAAGUGGGAAACGAUGUGGGAAGGCCCAGACAGCCAGGAUGUUGGCUUAGAAGCAGCCAUCAUUUAAAGAAAGCGUAAUAGCUCACUGGUCGAGUCGGCCUGCGCGGAAGAUGUAACGGGGCUAAACCAUG